AUUGAACGCUGGCGGCAGGCCUAACACAUGCAAGUCGAGCGGAGCGGCGGACGGGUGAGUAAUGCCUAGGAAUCUGCCUGGUAGUGGGGGAUAACGUCCGUAAACGGGCGAUAAUACCGCAUACUAUCAGAUGAGCCUAGGUCGGAUUAGCUAUUUGGUGGGGUAAAGGCCUACCAAGGCGACGAUCCGUAACUGGUCUGAGAGGAUGAUCCGUCACACUGGAACUGGGAAAGGGUCAAAACUCCUACGUGAGGCAGCAUUGGGAAAUAUUGGACAAUGGGCGAAAGCCUGAUCAAGCCAUGCCGCGUGUGUGAAGAAGGUCUUCGGAUUGUAAAGCACUUUAAGUUGGGAGGCGUUACCAACAGAGUAAGCACCGGCUAACUUCGUGCCAGCAGCCGCGGUAAUAC
rnacentral:rRNA from 1 species